UUUCCACAUUUUGUUCAGUUAAAAAGGAGAUGUAUGAAAAUGUUUAUUAUGAUUUCAGAAAAAUAUGGAGGACACUUUAAAGCUGCUUAGAUUAACUUGUGGUAAACAUCAGAUUUCAUGCAUACAUAGCCUUGCUGUGAUAUAACAAGUGAGAAGCAAAGAGUUAAAAGAUGUGCAAAUUAGUUCAGGCCAGAUGAAUUGCCCCUAUAAGGCAAGGUGACAUGAGAAUUUUCCAGAUUACAAAAAAGACAUGGUUUGGCUAUUUCUUAACAAAGUGAAUACAAGAAAGACGAACUCCUAGAAGCUGCUAGGAGUGGUAAUGAAGAAAAACUAAUGGCUUUACUGACUCCUCUAAAUGUGAAUUGCCAUGCAAGUGAUGGGCGAAAGGUAAGUUAUUUUGAAUACAAUCCUCUUUAAUUGCAAUGCUUCAAAAUUUUGUGAAUGUGGCAUAUAUAUAUAUAAGCACGUAUACCUACAUGGCUUUAUUUUAACUGGCAUCUUUUCACUGUAAAUGAAAUGCUGCUAUAUCUGUUAUUGGCAGUUGUGACACAUUUCAUAGAACUGGUGAAGCAUGGAUCUUAAGUAAGCCUUUUCUCUUAAAUGUCAGACACUGCAAGUUAUUUGUUACAUGAAACUGCAGUUUUGUUGGUGAUUAAAAUUACAGCAUAUGCUCUUUUCUGGGUAUGAUAAUGGAAACUGGAAAUAUGUGUGUCCUAUUUACCCAUCUUUGUUAAGACAUUUGUG
rnacentral:sRNA from 1 species